rnacentral:miRNA from 12 species
AUUUGGUGAUUCAGCUUAUGA